rnacentral:rRNA from 1 species
CCUACGGGUGGCAGCAGUGGGGGAUAUUGCACAAUGGGGGGAACCCUGAUGCAGCGACGCCGCGUGGGUGAAGAAGCGCCUCGGCGCGUAAAGCCCUGUCAGCAGGGAAGAAAAUGACGGUACCUGAAGAAGAAGCCCCGGCUAACUACGUGCCAGCAGCCGCGGUAAUACGUAGGGGGCAAGCGUUAUCCGGAUUUACUGGGUGGAAAGGGGGCGCAGACGGUGAUGCAAGCCAGGAGUGAAAGCCCGGGGCCCAACCCCGGGAGUGCUGUUGGAACUGCGUGGCUUGAGUGCAGGAGGGGAAGGCGGAAUUCCUGGUGUAGCGGUGAAAUGCGUAGAUAUCAGGAGGAACACCGGUGGCGAAGGCGGCCUGCUGGACUGCAACUGACGUUGAGGCCCGAAAGCGUGGGGAGCAAACAGGAUUAGAUACCCUUGUAGUC